rnacentral:rRNA from 1 species
UGAGGAAUAUUGGUCAAUGGGCGGAAGCCUGAACCAGCCAAGUCGCGUGAGGGAAGACGGUCCUAUGUAUUGUAAACCUCUUUUGUCGGGGAGCAAGGGGCGCCACGAGUGGCGUCAAGCGAGAGUACCCGAAGAAAAAGCAUCCGCUAAUCCCGUGCCAGCAGCCGCGGUAAUACGGAGGAUGCGAGCGUUAUCCGGAUUUAUUGGGUUUAAAGGGUGCGUAGGCGGGACGCCAAGUCAGCGGUAAAAUGUCGGGGCUCAACCCCGUUGUGCCGUUGAAACUGGCGUUCUUGAGUGGGCGAGAAGUAUGCGGAAUGCGUGGUGUAGCGGUGAAAUGCAUAGAUAUCACGCAGAACUCCGAUUGCGAAGGCAGCAUACCGGCGCCCUACUGACGCUGAAGCACGAAAGCGUGGGUAUCAAACAGG